rnacentral:rRNA from 1 species
GAUGAACGCUGGCGGCGUGCCUAAUACAUGCAAGUCGAACGCUGAAGCUUGGUGCUUGCACCGAGCGGAUGAGUUGCGAACGGGUGAGUAACGCGUAGGUAACCUGCCUCUUAGCGGGGGAUAACUAUUGGAAACGAUAGCUAAUACCGCAUAAAAGUCGAUAUCGCAUGAUAUUGAUUUGAAAGGUGCAAAUGCAUCACUAAGAGAUGGACCUGCGUUGUAUUAGCUAGUUGGUGAGGUAACGGCUCACCAAGGCGACGAUACAUAGCCGACCUGAGAGGGUGAUCGGCCACACUGGGACUGAGACACGGCCCAGACUCCUACGGGAGGCAGCAGUAGGGAAUCUUCGGCAAUGGGGGCAACCCUGACCGAGCAACGCCGCGGGAGUGAAGAAGGUUUUCGGAUCGUAAAGCUCUGUUGUAAGAGAAGAACGAGUGUGAGAGUGGAAAGUUCACACUGUGACGGUAACUUACCAGAAAGGGACGGCUAACUACGUG